rnacentral:rRNA from 1 species
CGACCGGCGGACGGGUGCGUAACGCGUAUGUAACCUACCUUUGACAGGGGGAUAACAUCGAGAAAUUGGUACUAAUACCCCAUAACAUCACCGGAGGCAUCUUCGGUGGUUGAAAACUCAGGUGGUCAGAGAUGGACAUGCGUUGUAUUAGCUAGUUGGUGAGGUAACGGCUCACCAAGGCGACGAUACAUAGGGGGACUGAGAGGUCAACCCCCCACAUUGGUACUGAGACACGGACCAAGCUCCUACGGAAGGCAGCAG